AAGUCGUAACAAGGUUUCCGUAGGUGAACCUGCGGAAGGAUCAUUAAAGUGUUUCGGAGCCUGGCUCGGGCACCUCAACUCGAGGUGUCGGUGCCAGCGCCCCCACACGUGUUUACUCAACUUGGUUGCCUUGGUGAGCCUGCCCUCGUGGCUGCCGGGGAUGCCUCACGGCGUCCUGGGCUCGUGCUCACCAGUGGAACAUUUGAACUCUUAUGUGAAAAUAGUCAGUCUGAGCAUUAUGCAAAUUAAAUAAAACUUUCAACAACGGAUCUCUUGGUUCCG
rnacentral:misc_RNA from 1 species